AUACUACUCCCUCUGUCCCAUAUUAAGUGACUUUCUAUUACAUGUAUCUAGACGCUUUUUAGGCACAGAUACAUCCAUAUUUGGGCAAAUUUGAGUCACUUAAUAUGGGACGGAGGGAGUACAUU
rnacentral:pre_miRNA from 1 species